rnacentral:rRNA from 1 species
UACGGAGGGUGCAAGCGUUAUCCGGAUUCACUGGGUUUAAAGGGUGCGUAGGCGGGCAGGUAAGUCAGUGGUGAAAUCUCAGAGCUUAACUCUGAAACUGCCGUUGAUACUAUCUGUCUUGAAUAUUGUGGAGGUAAGCGGAAUAUGUCAUGUAGCGGUGAAAUGCUUAGAUAUGACAUAGAACACCUAUUGCGAAAGGCA